rnacentral:rRNA from 1 species
UACGUAGGGGGCUAGCGUUGUUCGGAUUCAUUGGGCGUAAAGGGUGCGUAGGCGGCGCGGUAAGUCGGGUGUGAAAUCUCGGAGCUUAACUCCGAAACUGCAUUCGAUACUGCCGUGCUUGAGGACUGGAGAGGAGACUGGAAUUUACGGUGUAGCGGUGAAAUGCGUAGAUAUCGUAAGGAAGACCAGUGGCGAAGGCGGGUCUCUGGACAGUUCCUGACGCUGAGGCACGAAGGCCAGGGGAGCAAACGGG